rnacentral:rRNA from 1 species
UUCGGAUUGUAGUCUGCAACCCGACUACAUGAAGCUGGAAUCGCUAGUAAUCGCGGAUCAGAAUGCCGCGGUGAAUACGUUCCCGGGCCUUGUACACACCGCCCGUCACACCAUGGGAGUCGGAAAUGCCCGAAGCCUGUGACCCAACCUACGGGAGGGGGCAGCCGAAGGCAGGUCGGAUGACUGGGGUGAAGUCGUAACAAGGUAGC